GACGAACGCUGGCGGCGUGCCUAAUACAUGCAAGUCGAACGCAGUGGGGACGGGUGAGUAACACGUGGGUAACCUCCCAUCAGAGGGGAUAACACUUGGAUACAGGUGCUAAACCGAUACUGAUGGAUGGACCCGUGGGGCAUUAGCUAGUGGGUGAGGUAACGGCUCACCAAGGCCACGGUGCAUAGCCGGUCUGAGAGGGUGAUCGGCCACACUGGGACUGAGACACGGCCCAGACUCCUACGGGAGGCAGCAGUAGGGAAUCAUCGGCAAUGGGCGAAAGUCUGACCGAGCAACGCCGCGUGAGUGAAGAAGGUUUUCGGGUCGUAAAGCUCUGUUGUUUGGGAGGCGGUAUCUAACCAGAAAGCAACGGCUAACUACGUGCCAGCAGCCGCGGUAAUUC
rnacentral:rRNA from 1 species